UACAGAGGGUGCAAGCGUUGUUCGGAAUUAUUGGGCGUAAAGGGAGUGUAGGCGGUUUCCUAAGUCUUCUGUGAAAUCUACGGGCUUAGCCUGUAACGUGCAGAGGAAACUGGGAGACUUGAGUGUCGGAGAGGAUAGGGGAAUACCCGGUGUAGAGGUGAAAUUCGUAGAGAUCGGGUGGAACACCAGUGGCGAAGGCAGUUAACUAUUCUAUUCCUGACAUUGAGGCAUGAAAGCGUGGGGAGCAAAACGG
rnacentral:rRNA from 1 species